AUUUACCACCAGGACAUUUCACCCUGUAUUUUGUUGUAGUGGGGGGAUCGUAACUGUAUUUAGACUUUAUAUGGCAUGGGCUACUCGGUUCACAACAGCAGCACCUGCAGCACAUUAAUUAAUUAUCUCAUAGCUUCCAUUUAGUCUGCAGCUGUUGCUACUAUGUUAAUAUUUUUAUCACCACUGUAUACAACAGGUUAUGGGAAUAAAAGAAAUAUCUCUUUUUGGGGGAGCUUCCCCCCUGUCAUUUCCAUUUUUCUAUGUCAGAAGAGAAGACUGAAAGAAAUUCAGACAAAUCAAGCCCCCUCAGCGCACUAGAACGUUCUAUUUCUGAACUGAUUUGUAAGAGAAUGGGUAACUGAAGUUAGCAGAGAAUCACCCCACACAAAGAUGGCGCGUGCAGAAUUUGUGAAAGCGAACAAGGAGAAGGACAAGCCAGAGAGGACGGAGCACUGCAGAGCUGGGGUGCAGCUGGAGUCCAGAAAUGAUUUUUUCGAUGAAUUUAGGAUUUUGCCGCAGUAUGCAUCUGCAGUCCCAGAAUCCUCCGCAGGGCAAACAACGAAGGCCUGGAAGAAACAGGGCUCCAAGCAGGAAGGGAGUCUGGACAUAAGCAAAGGAACUGGGCCACGGCCACCACCUCCGCCACCUUCCCGGCCCCUCUCGGCAGAGCACAUUAGCUGCCAGCUCCGAGUGGCCAUCCGCCGCCCAUGCCCAGUGGGCUCCCUUGAUUCCUUCUCUGUGAGAAAACAGCUAGCCACGUAGGCUGACAGAGGCAUUUACAGCGACAGCCCGCUCAGCUGGAAAGAAAUCAAAAGACAACCCUGAACCCUGAGAUGAUGCAUUGUAAAUCAAAAGUCCCAAUCCGUAAAUAGCCCACUCGAUGAACUGCUAAACGAAAAGCUGAUGCUGAUUUUUGUUCAGCAUUUGCAUGUAGUCAUACAGAAACGUUUUAAUGUCUUCUACAAGAGCCACGAUUGAUUAUUUUCCAAUGCAUAGAAUGUUGCUUCCUGUUAUGUUUUGCUGGGAGGUAUUCUUCCUGAGGGCCUUGGAUGUGGUGUCCAGAGGUGACCACACCCCAGCCCCAUAGCCUGUUUUCUACCCUUUCGCUUAUUUUCAAGCAGGGUUGACUAACAGUUUCAAUCUUACAUUACACUAAGGGCCCGAGUCAAAAGGAGCCAGUCAUCCAUUUCCCUCUCUGAAAGAAGUUCAUUGUCUCAGGCCCUCAAUAAAUGUUUAAUUAAUGGAUUUGAUAGAGUUAAGUAUCCAAAAAGGGCCUGGACCAUCUUCAUAAAGCUGGCUUAGCAUUUCUUCUGCCUGACGUGCAAAAACAAGAUAGGAAUUUAUUUAUGUGCCUGGCUAAAAGUAAUUCAUAAGUGUGUUUCAGUGUAGGGAUGCUUUUUGUUCAGGUUCUGUGUCGCCAGUCCGUGGUGUGCCAAUGGCUGGUAUCGCAACAUGCACUGUCUCCUCCAGCUGGAGACACUUUUGGUUUCUAGGAACACAGCCUAAAAUUCAGAACCUUUUGUUUGUCGCCAUUUCACAAAAUGAAUCCAUUUACAUCAAACCCAUUGGGCUGGCUCUAGAAGAAAAAAUGAAAAACAACCCAAGUAGUCUUUCUUAAUGAACUGUAUUGCUCAAGGACAAUAUCUUGAAUAAUUAGUUUUACAAAAUCACUUAUUCCACUCAUUAUUUUGAUGCUGUAUCUCUGUAUCUUUCCCCCCCCCCCCCGUGUGUGUGUGUGUGUGUGUGUGUGUGGUUUGCCAUUUCUUUUUGGUUUAAUGAUAGUAUUAGUCUUAAUUUCAC
ensembl:lncRNA